rnacentral:rRNA from 1 species
UACAGAGGUCUCAACCGUUGUUCGGAUUCAUUGGGCGUAAAGAGCUCGUAGGCGGCUUGUCACGUCGGGUGUGAAAGCCCGGGGCUUAACCCCGGGUCUGCAUUCGAUACGGGCUAGCUAGAGUGUGGUAGGGGAGAUCGGAAUUCCUGGUGUAGCGGUGAAAUGCGCAGAUAUCAGGAGGAACACCGGUGGCGAAGGCGGAUCUCUGGGCCAUUACUGACGCUGAGGAGCGAAAGCGUGGGGAGCGAACAGG